rnacentral:rRNA from 1 species
UAUUAUUUUAUUUUGUUAAUGUUAAUGCUUGAGUAGUAGUAGGUAAGAUCUUGAAACUCAAAGGAUUUGGCGGUGUUACAUUCCUUUUAGAGGAAUCUGUCCUAUAAUUGAUAAUACACGAUUGGUUCUACUUUAUUUUGUGAUCAGCUUGUAUACCGCCGUCGUAAGAUUAUCUUGUGGAGGGGUAAAAAUUUCUUUGUUUUUAAAUAUGGAAGAUGUCAGGUCAAGGUGCAGUUUAUAGUGAAGAAGGAGAUGGAUUACAAUGAUAUUAAUGUAAAUGGAGAAUGAAUAUAAAAUGUUGUUUGAAGGUGGAUUUAAUUGUAAAUUUUAUUUUAAUUUUGAUUGGGGCUCUGUAAUGUGUACAUAUCGCCCGUCGCUCUCGUUUUAAUAUGAG